rnacentral:misc_RNA from 1 species
CCAAACUUGGUCAUUUAGAGGAAGUAAAAGUCGUAACAAGGUUUCCGUAGGUGAACCUGCGGAAGGAUCAUUAUCGAGUUCACGCCCUCACGGGCAGAUCUCCCACCCUUGAAUACUUUACCUUUGUUGCUUUGGCGGGCCACGCUCGCGUGUCGGCCUCGGCUGACUGCGCCCGCCAGAGGACCCAAACUCUUUUGUUUAGUGAUGUCUGAGUACUAUAUAAUAGUUAAAACUUUCAACAACGGAUCUCUUGGUUCUGGCAUCGAUGAAGAACGCAGC